rnacentral:lncRNA from 1 species
ACGCAAAAUUUUAAACGUGAAUUUUUGGGGGAUGUUACUUAAGGUUUUUAUUCUCUUUCCCCCCCUCUGUGUAUUGAGCAGCUUGGCAAUUAUUUAUGGCGUGUUCUCUGCCUCAAAUUUGAUCACUCCGUCCGUGGUCGCCAUUGUCGGGCCUCAGAUCUCUAUGUUUGUCAGUGGUUUGUUCUACAGGUGAGUGAAUCAUCUUUUUCCAUCGAUUGUUUAGUGGGGAGCACUUCAGAUCAUCUCUCAAGCACC